CGGAGGAUCCAAGCGUUAUCCGGAAUCAUUGGGUUUAAAGGGUCCGUAGGCGGGUUUAUAAGUCAGUGGUGAAAGCCCAUCGCUCAACGAUGGACGGCCAUUGAUACUGUAGAUCUUGAAUUAUUAGGAAGUAACUAGAAUAUGUAGUGUAGCGGUGAAAUGCUUAGAGAUUACAUGGAAUACCAAUUGCGAAGGCAGGUUACUACUAAUGGAUUGACGCUGAUGGACGAAAGCGUGGGUAGCAAACAGGAUUAGAUACCCUGGUAGUCCACGCCGUAAACGAUGGAUACUAGCUGUUCGGAGCAAUCUGAGUGGCUAAGCGAAAGUGAUAAGUAUCCCACCUGGGGAGUACGUUCGCAAGAAUG
rnacentral:rRNA from 1 species